GACGAACGCUGGCGGCGUGCUUAACACAUGCAAGUCGAACGGAAAGGCCCUGCUUUUGUGGGGUGCUCGAGUGGCGAACGGGUGAGUAACAAGUGAGUAACCUGCCCUUGACUUUGGGAUAACUUCAGGAAACUGGGGCUAAUACCGGAUAGGAGCUCCUGCUGCAUGGUGGGGGUUGGAAAGUUUCGGCGGUUGGGGAUGGACUCGCGGCUUAUCAGCUUGUUGGUGGGGUAGUGGCUUACCAAGGCUUUGACGGGUAGCCGGCCUGAGAGGGUGACCGGCCACAUUGGGACUGAGAUACGGCCCAGACUCCUACGGGAGGCAGCAGUGAGGAAUAUUGCACAAUGGGCGGAAGCCUGAUGCAGCAACGCCGCGUGCGGGAUGACGGCCUUCGGGUUGUAAACCGCUUUCGCCUGUGACGAAGCGUGAGUGACGGUAAUGGGUAAAGAAGCACCGGCUAACUACGUG
rnacentral:rRNA from 1 species